GGAGCGGUAAGGUUCAGUUGGUUAGAAUACCGGCCUGUCACGCCGGGGGUCGGCGGGUUCGAGUCCCGUCCGGCUCCGCCA
rnacentral:tRNA from 1 species